AGAGUUUGAUCCUGGCUCAGGAUUAACGCUGGCGGCGUGCAUAACACAUGCAAGUCGAACGAUGAAGAUUAUUAGACUUCUUCGGAAUGAAAAUAAUUGGAUUAUUGGCGGACGGGUGAGUAACGCGUGAGUAACCUGCCUUACACAAGGGGAUAGCCGUUGGAAACGACGAAUAAUACCCUAUGAAACUAUCACUUCGCAUGAAGCGAUAGUCAAAGUGUUAGCGGUGUAAGAUGGACUUGCGUCUGAUUAGCUAGUUGGUGAGAAAAAAGCCCACCAAGGCAACGAUCAGUAGCCGGCUUGAGAGAGUGUACGGCCACAUUGGGACUGAGACACGGCCCAGACUCCUACGGGAGGCAGCAGUGGGGAAUUUUGCACAAUGGGGGAAACCCUGAUGCAGCGACGCCGCGUGAUUUAGAAGGUCUUCUGGUUGUAAAAAUCUUUUGUAUAGGAAGAAAAUGACAUUACUAUACGAAUAAGGUCCGGCUAAUUACGUGCCAGCAGCCGCGGUAAUACGUAAGGACCGACCGCUGUCCGGAAUCAUUGGGCGUAAAGGGUACGUAGGCGGGUCAUCAAGUUAGAAGUCAAAGGCUAUAGCUCAACUAUAGUAAGCUUCUAAAACUGGAGACCUUGAGUAAUGGAAGGGAAAGUGGAAUUCCUAGUGUAGCGGUGGAAUGCGCAGAUAUUAGGAGGAAUACCGGUGGCGAAGGCGACUUUCUGGCCAUUAACUGACGCUGAAGUACGAAAGCGUGGGUAGCAAACAGGAUUAGAUACCCUGGUAGUCCACGCCGUAAACGAUGAGUGUUAGGUGUCUGGAAUAAAUCUGGGAUGCCGCA
rnacentral:rRNA from 1 species